rnacentral:lncRNA from 1 species
CUUACCAAGCCACAUAGCAAUUGCACUCUUGGGUACUUACCUGACAGAAAAACUUAUGUUCACACAAAAACCUGUAACACGUAUGUUCAUGAUAAAUUUAUUCGUAAUAGUCAAAACACUGGAACCGAUUCACUCAAUGAGCCAAUGGGGUUAAUGAAUUAGUUCCACUGAUGCUUUGUCACUGAAGUCAGGAAGUACCCAGACAGUAAGGGACUGCCUUUUGAAGUUCUUCUGAUAUUGGACAAUGCCCCUGGCUACCCAGAAUCCCAUGAGUUCAACACCGAAGGCUUUUGUCCAAGUGGUCCACUGGUCCCCAAACACAAACUCUCUAAUUCAGCCUGUAGAUCAGGGGGUCAUAGGGACCUUUAAGGUUCAUUACACACAGAACUCUAUGGAAACGAAUGUCAACACUAUGGAAAAACCUCCACAGACAGAACAUGAUGAAAGUCUGGGAGGAUUAUCCCAUUGAAGAUGCCCUGUUGUCAUAGAAAAAGCCAUGAAAGCCAACAAGACUGAAACAAAUUUCUGCUGAAGAAAUCUAUGUCCAGAUGUUGUGCAUGACUUCACAGGAUUUACUACAAAGCCAAUCAAGAAAAUCAUGAAAGAGAUUGUAGACACGGCAAAAAGGGUGGGGAGUGAUGUGUUUCAACAUAUGGGUCUUAGAGAAAUUCAAGAGCUAACAGAUACCACACCAGAGGAAUUAACAGAAGACAAGGUGGAGAUAGAUGCUUCUGAACCACUGCCAGACAGUGAGAAAGAUGCAGAACAGUGCCAGAAAACAAACUGACAUUAGACAAUCUGGCAGAACGGUUCUGAAUAUACAAGACUACUCUUGACUUCUUUUACGACAUGGACCCUUCUAUGAUACAGGCAACAAGAUCAACCCCUCCUCUUCCUCCUCAGCCUACUCAACAGGAAGACAAGUAGGAUGCAGACCUUUACAAUGAGCCACUUCAACUUAAUGAAUAAUGGUGGCAGAAGAAAACACCGAAAACAAUACCACUACCCCACUCCCUUUAUUAGAAAAAAGUUAAAAUACAAAUUCUAUUACUGUUUACCUAGGACCUAACUUCACACGGCUGACAUUUCUCAAAGAUAGGUCAUAGGAUCCCCAUUCCAGAAAGGGUGCUGUUCCAUACCCGGAAGGAAAGAAUGCUGCACAGAGAGGCCAAGAAGAAUCUAUACAGACAGGCAGGCCUUGCUGGGUUUCCCCACUCAGUAUAUGGCUGUCCAGACUUUGCUGAACCUAAGCAUACCAAUGGGCAGUUUUCUCCUAUAUCUUUAGGUCUUUAUUCUGAAGGCUCCCAUGUCACGUAACACCAAGAUCAAAUAAAAUCAUAUGCCCUUUCUCCUAUUAAUCUGCCUUUUUUCAGCUGAUUUUCAAAGAACCUUCAGAGGCUGAAAGGGAAGUUUUUUCUUGGCCCCUACAAUAUGCUACAACUCCAGUAAGUUAAUUAGUAAAUAUUAAACUAUUUUUGGAAGGAAAAAAAACUGAAAAUAACAUUGCUUUAGAGAUAAAUUAUUUAAGAAUUGCUAGAAAUUACCCUAGAAAUUAUCCUAGAAAAAUCUUAAAAUUUUCCCUAAAAACUUUUAGGAAUAAUACAUUGUUUCUAAUGAGACCCUUCAGCUUAUGCAAAAAGCACAGGAGACUAAAUUCUAGAGUCAACGAAACGAUAUUCUCCAAUUCUGUUUUGCUAAUGAAUAUGUUGUCCAUCCCCCCAUCAGCAUGCUUAGGUAAUCUUGCAAGGAUAAAUGGAAAUGUCAGUUGACAUUUACAAUGAAAUAGGAUUUUUAGACAGUUGUGCUUUUUGGGUGGGAAAAGGAGAGCUAAAAAUUAGGGGGUUGGGGGCUUAAAAAAGACAGCAUUAUAUGGCUUAGAACUUUGGUACCCUACCUUCAU